rnacentral:rRNA from 1 species
GACGAACGCUGGCGGCGUGCUUAACACAUGCAAGUCGAACGGAAAGGCCUCUUUCGGGGGGUACUCGAGUGGCGAACGGGUGAGUAACACGUGAGUAACCUGCCCUUGACUUUGGGAUAACUUCAGGAAACUGGGGCUAAUACCGGAUAGGAGCUCCUGCUGCAUGGUGGGGGUUGGAAAGUUUCGGCGGUUGGGGAUGGACUCGCGGCUUAUCAGCUUGUUGGUGGGGUAGUGGCUUACCAAGGCUUUGACGGGUAGCCGGCCUGAGAGGGUGACCGGCCACAUUGGGACUGGGAUACGGCCCAGACUCCUGCGGGAGGCAGCAGUGGAGAAUAUUGCACAAUGGGUGGAAGCCUGAUGCAGCAACGCCGUGUGCGGGAUGACGGCCUUCGGGUUGUAAACCGCUUUCGCUCAUGACGAAGCUUUGUGUGACGGUAGUGGGUAAAGAAGCACCGGCUAACUACGUG